GGACUCUUCAUUAAGUCUAGUGUCACCCAGCUAUCAUGUACCAGAAACAAGACUUGAAAUCAGGUCUAACUCCAAGGAAUUGCUCUAAGGUUAAAUGACCUGCUCCCAAUCAUAGUUAUCAUCAAAGACAUGACUGACACCAGAUCUCAUCCAAGGCUGCCCCACACUAAACUUCUUUUCAGCAGCAGACCACCAGAUUUGAGAAUUGUUAUACAGAAAUAAACCUUAACCUGGAGGCAGUCUACAAGGUGUAACAAAAAAAUAAAACCAAUUGAGUUCCUUCACCCAACGUGGGGGCAAGACUGAAGACACAGAAGGCAGAUGUUUUGAAAAGUCAUCAGAUACACCCACUUAGCAAGGUCUUCCCUUAAAUGAUUAAAAGUUACAUCUGAGAGUAAGAAUCUCAUGCCUUUUGUCAGAUCAACUUGAAGAAACUGGUUGUAAAAUUUUCUGAGCAACUGCUUGUCUAGAGGGCAGGGGACAGUGGUGGUGAUGGUAAAUGUUUUGUCUUCCACGUUGGAGGAUGUUUGUUCAUGGUGGAGACCAGGGACGUAUACUAUGGAGCAAGUGAAUUGGCUCAAGAGAAGUCCUCUUUAUCUGGUUGUCAUUUGGCCUGGUUAGAAGUGCUCCUAUUUCUUAAGAUGGAGCAAAAUUAUAGCAAAGGUCCUUUGCAAGUGAAAAUGCCAGGUCUCAAAAGUCGUCUUCGCGGUCAGCAUAUCUUUUCCUGAAGUUUCUCACCCAAAGUUGCAAAGUUUGGGGUGCUGCAGAUAGCUCAUGUAUAAACAAAUAUGCAAAGAGGUUGAAUACCAAAGGGAAGAGUUAUGAAGAGAAUAACCCCUACUGGCAUAUUAGGGAUAUUUAUUUCCACAACAAAAGGCUUUUAUGGACUAGCAUCAGUGCCAUUUUGAAUCAUCUUUCUGCUUACCUAAAAGGCUUC
rnacentral:lncRNA from 1 species